GAUGAACGCUAGCGGCAGGCCUAACACAUGCAAGUCGAGGGGCAGCACAUGAGUAGCAAUACGAUGGUGGCGACCGGCGCACGGGUGAGUAACACGUAUGCAACCUACCGGUAAAAGGGGGAUAGCCUCUCGAAAGAGAGAUUAAUACCGCAUAAUAUCUCUGGAUGGCAUCAUUUAGAGAUUAAACAUUUAUGGUUUACCGAUGGGCAUGCGUAUGAUUAGCUAGUAGGUGAGGUAACGGCUCACCUAGGCAACGAUCAUUAGGGGUUCUGAGAGGAAGGUCCCCCACACUGGUACUGAGACACGGACCAGACUCCUACGGGAGGCAGCAGUGAGGAAUAUUGGUCAAUGGGCGAGAGCCUGAACCAGCCAAGUCGCGUGAAGGAUGAAGGUUCUAUGGAUUGUAAACUUCUUUUGUAAGGGAAUAAAAAGAGCUACGUGUAGUUUAUUGUAUGUACUUUACGAAUAAGGAUCGGCUAACUCCGUGCCAGCCGCCGCCGUAA
rnacentral:rRNA from 1 species